rnacentral:rRNA from 1 species
GACGAACGCUGGCGGCGUGCUUAACACAUGCAAGUCGAACGGAAAGGCCCUGCUUUUGUUGGGUUCUCGAGUGGCGAGCGGGUGAGUAACACGUGAGUAACCUGCCCUUGACUUUGUGAUAACUUCAGGAAACUGGGGCGAAUACCGGGUAUGAGCUCCUGCUGCAUAUGGUUGGUUGGAGAGUUUCGGCGGUUGGGGAUGGACUCGCGGCUUAUCAGCUGGUUGGUGGGGUAGUGGCGUACCAAGGCUUUGACGGGUAGCCGGCCUGAGAGGGUGACCGGCCACAUUGGGACUGAGAUACGGCCCAGACUCGUACGGGAGGCAGCAGUGGGGAAUAUUGCACAAUGGGCGGAAGCAUGAUGAAGCAACGCCGCGUGCGGGAUGACGGCCCUCGGGUUGUAAACCGCUUUCGCCUGUGACGAAGCGUGAGUGACGGUAAUGGGUAAAGAAGCACCGGCUAACUACGUG